rnacentral:rRNA from 1 species
AGCGAACGCUGGCGGCAGGCCUAACACAUGCAAGUCGAACGAACCCUUCGGGGUUAGUGGCGGACGGGUGAGUAACACGUGGGAACGUGCCUUUAGGUUCGGAAUAACUCAGGGAAACUUGUGCUAAUACCGAAUGUGCCCUUCGGGGGAAAGAUUUAUCGCCUUUAGAGCGGCCCGCGUCUGAUUAGCUAGUUGGUGAGGUAAUGGCUCACCAAGGCUACGAUCAGUAGCUGGUCUGAGGGGAUGACCAGCCACAUUGGGACUGAGUCACGGCCCAAACUCCUACGGGAGGCAGCAGUGGGGAAUCUUGCGCAAUGGGCGAAAGCCUGACGCAGCCAUGCCGCGUGGAUAAUGAAGGUCUUAGGAUUGUAAAAUCCUUUCACCGGUGAAGAUAAUGACUGUAGCCGGAGAAGAAGCCCCGGCUAACUUCGUGCCAGCCGCCGCUGUAAAAC